rnacentral:tRNA from 1 species
GACGGUUUGGCCGAGUGGUGUAAGGCGCCAGAUUUAGGCUUUGGUUCGAAAAGGCGUGGGUUCAAAUCCCACAGCCGUCA